rnacentral:rRNA from 1 species
UACGUAGGGUGCGAGCGUUAAUCGGAAUUACUGGGCGUAAAGCGUGCGCAGGCGGUUUUGUAAGCCAGAUGUGAAAUCCCCCGGGCUUAACCUGGGAAUGGCAUUUGGGACUGCAAGGCUGGAGUGCGGCAGAGGAGACUGGAAUUCCUGGUGUAGCAGUGAAAUGCGUAGAUAUCAGGAGGAACACCGGUGGCGAAGGCGGUCUCUGGGCCUUACCUGGACGCUGAGGAGCCGAAAGCGUGGGAGCGAACAGG